rnacentral:sRNA from 1 species
ACAGUCAGGAGCUCCAACUUUCAGAAAUUAUUUGUUUUACAAAAAAAUAAGAAAAAAUGUGAGAAAAAUACGUUUCGUGCUUAAAAUUAACCUUGUGACUUUUCAAGCGGUUGAGAAUUGUUUUAAAAAGAAAUUUCAAAUUGUGACAAGAAAUAAAUAUAUAUAAAUUUUUUGUUUAGUUCGUACCAAAUUUCGUUUCAAUGUCAAUGUCAGGAAGUGUGCAACUUAGAAAUGUUAGAUGAAAAUACACUCAAAAAAAAACGUUUGAACCCACAAUGUUAUACACAGGAGCACACAAUAAUCAAAACCCUGAUAAAUGGCGAUCUGCUUGGUGUAUUUGCGUUUUUGCUGACUUUAUAAAUCUUUGAUGCGACGGUACCACAGACCACAGACUUUUCAUAUGGUUUGCUGGAUUAGUCGAUCAAAGGCAAAUAUGAAUAAACUGUUUGUGGCACAAAUUCACCCUCCCAUCUGUAGAAAGAAAUAAAAAUACAAAUUAGAACAGAAACACAGAUUACACCUUAUUUAUAUGCAUCUUUCAUGCUCGCUCUGUACAUAGCCAUAUGUAUUAGGAAAACGCAUCUAAAUAACAUAAAAAAAUAACCAACAAACCCAAAAAGCCCCCAAAAAAAAAGCAACGAGCAACUGCAACAAAAAUCGUGUUUUUUGUGUUUACACUUAAACUUACUUUUAUUUUUGUGUUCGCCCAUAUCGUCGUUGUCGCACAUCAGGAAGUAAGCUUCGUUAAUUAACAUUGUCGCGGUUGGUUUCCAAAAUAUCUGCCCGCUUAACAAUACAAUAAUAUUUUGGACGCAAUCGCCUCGUGCAUCGCCAUAAAGGGGUUUAAAUACAGUUCUUGCACGGAAUCCAGUUGAACAGGAUCAUGAGGGUUGCGCGUCACUGUAUUAUCAGAAGCUGCAUAUUUGUUUGUUCUAUUAAUCGUCUAUCAAAAUAAAACCACAGAUGCAACAAACA